rnacentral:rRNA from 1 species
GCAUAUCAAUAAGCGGAGGAAAAGAAACCAACAGGGAUUGCCCUAGUAACGGCGAGUGAAGCGGCAACAGCUCAAAUUUGAAAUCUGGCGUCUUUGGCGUCCGAGUUGUAAUUUGCAGAGGGCGCUUUGGCAUUGGCAGCGGUCCAAGUUCCUUGGAACAGGACGUCACAGAGGGUGAGAAUCCCGUACGUGGUCGCUAGCCUUUACCGUGUAAAGCCCCUUCGACGAGUCGAGUUGUUUGGGAAUGCAGCUCUAAAUGGGAGGUAAAUUUCUUCUAAAGCUAAAUACUGGCCAGAGACCGAUAGCGCACAAGUAGAGUGAUCGAAAGAUGAAAAGCACUUUGGAAAGAGAGUUAAAAAGCACGUGAAAUUGUUGAAAGGGAAGCGCUUGCAGCCAGACUUGCCUGUAGUUGCUCAUCUAGGUUUCUACCUAGUGCACUCUUCUAUAGGCAGGCCAGCAUCAGUUUGGGCGGUUGGAUAAAGGUCUCUGUCAUGUACCUCUCUUCGGGGAGAACUUAUAGGGGAGACGACAUGCAACCAGCCUGGACUGAGGUCCGCGCAUCUGCUAGGAUGCUGGCGUAAUGGCUGUAAGCGGCCCGUCUUGAAACACGGACC